AAGUGAUUUGGCCGCUUAUUGGACUUGGAACUCCAGUUAUGGCUGUAAAUCACCAAUGUACUUGGCAGUCUUGACAGGGACUAAAGGUAUUCUUCGUCUUCUCCUGAAAAAGAUUCCAAUCCCCUCGGGCCAGGCCAUUUCAAGCGGAGGCUCUCCACUUCAUGCAGCAAUAUCAGAACGAAAUAAUGCUCUAUUGUAGAAGAUAGUGGAUACAAGAGAAGAGCUAAUGCAUCAAAGAGAUGAGAAGAACAACACUCCUCUUCACUAUGCAGCAUACGUGGGUUACCUGGGAGGAGUUUGCACGAUGUUAGAAAAAUCUCCAACGAUUGCUUUUCAACGGAACUCAGAUGGCAAUUUUCCAAUUCACCUUGCUUGUAAAAAAGGCCAUGUUCAAGUGGUCAACAAGUUGCUUGAAACAGAGUGGUCUAAUGCUGGACUUUUUUGAAUAGUAAAGGUCAAAACAUUCUUCACAUUGCAGCAAUGAAGGGCCAAACUGAUAUGAUAAAAUAUCUGCUGAAGAACCCCAAGAUUCAUCAUGACACUCCCAAUGAGAGAGAUGUAAAUGGUGAUACCCCAUUACAUCUGGCUUCAAGAAAACUGCGUCUUUGGACGCUACUCCUUCUAUCACGACACAAAAUGAUCAAUUCGAACCUUGUCAAUAACGAAGGUUUAACAGCUCGAGACACGUCACGAGUUUCUAGCAGAUGCAAUUUUGGAAAGUUCUGGUGUUCCCUUGAAGGCAAACAUGCUAGGAAUACCACGCACAACAUCCACCAAUAAAGAAUGGAACGUGAAAGACGCGGCCAACACACUCAUGCUUGUGGCCAUGCCGAUAGCCAAAGUGACAUUUACAGCUGGUUUCACAGUACCAAGUGGGUUUUACUCAUCGGAUGAUCCACUUGCAAAAGAAAGAGGCAUGGCACUUUUGGUUGAUUGAACACUAUUCAAUAUAUUCAUGGCUUUCAACACUAUUGCUAUGUACAGUUCCACCAUUGGCUCUGUUAUUCUACUAUGGGUCCCACUUGGUGAUCUUUGAUUUGCAGAAGGAGCAUAUGAACUUGUUAAGAGUUUUGUUUAUGUGGCUCUCGUAACCAUGCCUGCGGCAUUUUUAGCUGCUAUACGUUUGGUUGUCAGUAACAACACUUUGCUUGCAGAUGUUAUAAGCGUCAUUGGAUUCGCCUCCAUUUUCAUCAUCUUAUUUGCUCGUAUUUUAGGAAAGUUUUCGCUUAGAACUCAUCUUCCUUUUCUUCGUCGAAUUGGAGACUUCUUCAUUAGAAUUAUUCUUGUGUCAUUUUAUGGAUGGAGUGACAUUUUGAUUGGCGAUCAAGUUGAUAAAGUCGACCAAGUCGGUCAAGCCAACCAAGUGAAUGAAACAUUUGCUAUUGAUAUCGAUGAUGAUAAUGGUGA